GAGCAGAGCACCGCACCUUGAAAUACGGAGAAAAACCUGAAAACGCUGAGAGGUGGAGUGACAACUUGCAUUCAGCUGUUUCAGAAACAUUGUUGACCACCUACUCAAUGUGAAGAUGACGAAGAUGAAAGCCUUUAUGAUGAUCUACUUCCACUUAAUAAAUGGAAACCAGCUGCCAUGCAUGAGGAUACUCCAGCAGCUUAUGGAGAAGUCCAUGUGGUGAGGAACUGGGGUCGGUCCACAACCACCUGAGUGAACCUGAAAGUGGAUCUUCCCCUCACUCAAGCAUUGAGUUGACUGCUGGCCCAACCAACAGUUUGUCUGCAACUUCAUGGGAGAUCCUGACUCAGAAGCACUCAAUUAACUCAUGAAAACGACUCCAGUAUGAAUGGUGAAUGUAAUUUAAUGUGUCAUGGAAAUGCAGAGCUGUAGAACUGAUUAUUAUGCCCAGUAUAAAUGGAAGAGCUCUAAUCUACGAGUGGAGGUGAAGCAUCCCCAGUGGCCAGGAGGACAACCUUGCCCAGUGACCUUUCCUAGAAGAAGAUUAUAUUGAAAUCAUCAAAGGCCAGUGCGGUGGUUCAUGCCUGUAAUCCCAGCACUUUGGGAGGCCGAGGUGGGCGGAUCACUUGAGGUCAAGAGUUCAAGACCAGCCUGGUCAAUAUGAUGGAACCCCAUCUUUACUAAAAAUACAAAGAUUAGCUGGGCAUGGUGGUGUGCACCUGUAAUCCCAGCUACUCUGGAGGCUGAGACAUGAGAAUCCCUUGAACCUGAAGGGUGCAGUGAGC
rnacentral:lncRNA from 10 species